rnacentral:piRNA from 1 species
UUAUAGCUUGAUUGUGGGUGUGUCCCAUGU